CUAUACCCGGCCGUCGGGGCA
rnacentral:siRNA from 1 species